AUCUAGCUGAUGAAUCCGAAAUAGAACGAAACGUGCGUUCUGGAU
rnacentral:hammerhead_ribozyme from 1 species